rnacentral:tRNA from 1 species
ACUUAUGUAUUAUAAAAAUUAUAUUUGACUUCCAAUCAAAAAAUCUAAAUCAGUGUAAGU